rnacentral:rRNA from 1 species
CGGAGGGUGCAAGCGUUAUCCGGAUUCACUGGGUUUAAAGGGUGCGUAGGAGGGCAGGUAAGUCAGUGGUGAAAUCUUCGAGCUUAACUCGGAAACUGCCGUUGAUACUAUCUGUCUUGAAUACCGUGGAGGUGAGCGGAAUAUGUCAUGUAGCGGUGAAAUGCUUAGAUAUGACAUAGAACACCAAUUGCGAAGGCAGCUCGCUACACGAAUAUUGACUCUGAGGCACGAAAGCGUGGGGAUCAAACAGGAUUAGAUACCCUGGUAGUCCACGCCCUAAACGAUGGAUACUCGACAUACGCGAUACACAGUGUGUGUCUGAGCGAAAGCAUUAAGUAUCCCACCUGGGAAGUACGACCGCAAGGUUG